rnacentral:rRNA from 1 species
GACGAACGCUGGCGGCGUGCUUAACACAUGCAAGUCGAACGGAAAGGCCCUGCUUUUGUGGGGUGCUCGAGUGGCGAACGGGUGAGUAGCACGUGAGUAACCUGCCCCUGACUUUGGGAUAACUUCAGGAAACUGGGGCUAAUACCGGAUAGGAGCUCCUGCUGCAUGGUGGGGGUUGGAAAGUUUCGGCGGUUGGGGAUGGACUCGCGGCUUAUCAGCUUGUUGGUGGGGUAGUGGCUUACCAAGGCUUUGACGGGUAGCCGGCCUGAGAGGGUGACCGGCCACAUUGGGACUGAGAUACGGCCCAGACUCCUACGGGAGGCAGCAGUGGGGAAUAUUGCACAAUGGGCGGAAGCCUGAUGCAGCAACGCCGCGUGCGGGAUGACGGCCUUCGGGUUGUAAACCGCUUUCGCCUGUGACGAAGCGUGAGUGACGGUAAUGGGUAAAGAAGCACCGGCUAACUACGUG